rnacentral:rRNA from 1 species
UAGCUAGUUGGUGAGGUAAAGGCUUACCAAGGCGACGAUCUGUAGCGGGUCUGAGAGGAUGAUCCGCCACACUGGAACUGAGACACGGUCCAGACUCCUACGGGAGGCAGCAGUGGGGAAUUUUGGACAAUGGGGGCAACCCUGAUCCAGCCAUGCCGCGUGAGUGAAGAAGGCCUUCGGGUUGUAAAGCUCUUUCGGCCGGGAAGAAAUCGCAUGGGCCAAUACCCUGUGUGGAUGACGGUACCGGAAUAAGAAGCACCGGCUAACUACGUGCCAGCAGCCGCGGUAAUACGUAGGGUGCGAGCGUUAAUCGGAAUUACUGGGCGUAAAGCGUGCGCAGGCGGUUUUGUAAGACAGGCGUGAAAUCCCCGGGCUUAACCUGGGAACUGCGUUUGUGACUGCAAGGCUAGAGUACGGCAGAGGGGGGUGGAAUUCCACGUGUAGCAGUGAAAUGCGUAGAGAUGUGGAGCAACACCAAUGGCGAAGGCAGCCCCCUGGGUCGAUACUGACGCUCAUGCACGAAAGCGUGGGUAGCAAACAGGAUUAGAUACCCUGGUAGUCCACGCCCUAAACUAUGUCAACUAGGUGUUGGGUGGGUAAAACCAUUUAGUACCGUAGCUAACGCGUGAAGUUGACCGCCUGGGGAGUACGGCCGCAAGGUUAAAACUCAAAGGAAUUGACGGGGACCCGCACAAGCGGUGGAUGAUGUGGAUUAAUUCGAUGCAACGCGAAAAACCUUACCUACCCUUGACAUGCCAGGAACUUGCCAGAGAUGGCUUGGUGCCCGAAAGGGAGCCUGGACACAGGUGCUGCAUGGCUGUCGUCAGCUCGUGUCGUGAGAUGUUGGGUUAAGUCCCGCAACGAGCGCAACCCUUGUCGUUAAUUGCCAUCAUUUAGUUGGGCACUUUAACGAGACUGCCGGUGACAAACCGGAGGAAGGUGGGGAUGACGUCAAGUCCUCAUGGCCCUUAUGGGUAGGGCUUCACACGUCAUACAAUGGUCGGUACAAAGGGUUGCCAAGCCGCGAGGCGGAGCCAAUCCCAGAAAGCCGAUCGUAGUCCGGAUUGCAGGCUGCAACUCGCCUGCAUGAAGUCGGAAUCGCUAGUAAUCGUGGAUCAGCAUGUCACGGUGAAUACGUUCCCGGGUCUUGUACACACCGCCCGUCACACCAUGGGAGCGGGUUCCGCCAGAAGUAGGUAGCCUAACCGCAAGGGGGGCGCUUACCACGGCGGGGUUCGUGACUGGGGUGAAGUCGGAACAAGGUAGCCGUAGGGGAACCUGCGGCUG